CAAUAGCGUAUAUUUAAGUUGUUGCAGUUAAAAGCUCGUAGUUGGAUUUCGGUUGAGAACGGCCGGUCCGCCGUUUGGUGUGCACUGGCUGGUCUCAACUUCCUGUAGAGGACGCGCUCUGGGUUAACGCUCGGACGCGGAGUCUACGUGGUUACUUUGAAAAAUUAGAGUGUUCAAAGCGGGCUUACGCUUGAAUAUUUCAGCAUGGAAUAAUGAGAUAGGACUUUGGUACUAUUUUGUUGGUUUGCGCACCAAGGUAAUGAUUAAUAGGGAUAGUUGGGGGUAUUCAUAUUCAAUUGUCAGAGGUGAAAUUCUUGGAUUUAUGGAAGAUGAACUUAUGCGAAAGCAUUUACCAAGGAUGUUUUCAUUAAUCAAGAACGAAAGUUAGGGGAUCGAAGACGAUCAGAUACCAU
rnacentral:rRNA from 1 species